AUUGAACGCUGGCGGCAUGCUUUACACAUGCAAGUCGAACGGCAGCACGGGGGCAACCCUGGUGGCGAGUGGCGAACGGGUGAGUAAUGCAUCGGAACGUGUCCUUAAGUGGGGGAUAACGCAUCGAAAGAUGCGCUAAUACCGCAUAAUCUACGAGGAGAAAAGCAGGGGAUCGCAAGACCUUGCGCUUUUGGAGCGGCCGAUGUCUGAUUAGCUAGUUGGUGGGGUAAUGGCUUACCAGGGCUUCGAUCAGUAGCUGGUCUGAGAGGACGACCAGCCACACUGGGACUGAGACACGGCCCAGACUCCUACGGGAGGCAGCAGUGGGGAAUUUUGGACAAUGGGGGAAACCCUGAUCCAGCCAUGCCGCGUGAGUGAAGAAGGCCUUCGGGUUGUAAAGCUCUUUCAGCCGGAACGAAAUGGUCACGGCUAAUACCCGUGACAAAUGACGGUACCGGAAGAAGAAGCACCGGCUAACUACGUGCCAGCAGCCGCCGCCGUAA
rnacentral:rRNA from 1 species